CCAAUAGCGUAUAUUAAAGUUGUUGCAGUUAAAAAGCUCGUAGUUGAAUUUCGGGAUUGACACAUCGGUCGUGCCUUAAGGGGUAUGAACUGGUGUAGUCAAUUUCUCACCUUCUGGAGAACCGCGAUGCCCUUAAUUGGGUGUCGCGGGGAACCAGGACCUUUACUUUGAAAAAAUUAGAGUGUUUAAAGCAGGCAUUUUGCUUGAAUACAUUAGCAUGGAAUAAUAAAAUAGGACGGCAUGAUUCUAUUUUGUUGGUUUCUAGGAUCACCGUAAUGAUUAAUAGGGAUAGUUGGGGGCAUUAGUAUUCAAUUGUCAGAGGUGAAAUUCUUGGAUUUAUUGAAGACUAACUACUGCGAAAGCAUUUGCCAAGGAUGUUUUCAUUAAUCAAGAACGAAAGUUAGGGGAUCGAAGACGAUCAGAUACCGUCGUAGUCUUAGCCAUAAACUAUGCCGACUAGGAAUCAGACGAUGUUAAUUUUUUAAUGACUCGUUUGGCACCUUAC
rnacentral:rRNA from 1 species